UACGUAGGUGACAAGCGUUGUCCGGAUUUACUGGGCGUAAAGAGCGCGCAGGCGGUCGUACAAGUCGCGUGUGAAAGCCCCCGGCUCAACUGGGGAGGGUCACGCGAUACUGUUCGACUCGAAGGCAGGAGAGGGAAGCAGAAUUCCCGGUGUAGUGGUGAAAUGCGUAGAUAUCGGGAGGAAUACCAGUGGCGAAGGCGGCUUCCUGGCCUGUUCUUGACGCUGAGGCGCGAAAGCUAGGGUAGCAAACGGG
rnacentral:rRNA from 1 species